AUUGAACGCUGGCGGCAUGCCUUACACAUGCAAGUCGAACGGCAGCACGGGAGCAAUCCUGGUGGCGAGUGGCGAACGGGUGAGUAAUACAUCGGAACGUGCCCAAUCGUGGGGGAUAACGCAGCGAAAGCUGUGCUAAUACCGCAUACGAUCUACGGAUGAAAGCAGGGGAUCGCAAGACCUUGCGCGAAUGGAGCGGUCGAUGGCAGAUUAGGUAGUUGGUGAGGUAAAGGCUCACCAAGCCGUCGAUCUGUAGCUGGUCUGAGAGGACGACCAGCCACACUGGGACUGAGACACGGCCCAGACUCCUACGGGAGGCAGCAGUGGGGAAUUUUGGACAAUGGGCGAAAGCCUGAUCCAGCCAUGCCGCGUGCAGGAUGAAGGCCUUCGGGUUGUAAACUGCUUUUGUACGGAACGAAACGGCCUUUUCUAAUAAAGAGGGCUAAUGACGGUACCGUAAGAAUAAGCACCGGCUAACUACGUGCCAGCAGCCGCGGUAAUACGUAGGGUGCAAGCGUUAAUCGGAAUUACUGGGCGUAAAGCGUGCGCAGGCGGUUAUGUAAGACAGUUGUGAAAUCCCCGGGCUCAACCUGGGAACUGCAUCUGUGACUGCAUAGCUAGAGUACGGUAGAGGGGGAUGGAAUUCCGCGUGUAGCAGUGAAAUGCGUAGAUAUGCGGAGGAACACCGAUGGCGAAGGCAAUCCCCUGGACCUGUACUGACGCUCAUGCACGAAAGCGUGAGGAGCAAACAGG
rnacentral:rRNA from 1 species